rnacentral:rRNA from 1 species
UGGGGAAUUUUUCGCAAUGGGGGAAACCCUGACGAAGCAACGCCGCGUGGAGGAUGAAGGCCUUCGGGUCGUAAACUCCUGUCGACCGGGACGAAAGUAGUCCGACCCAAUACGUUGGGCUAUCGACUGUACCGGUGGAGGAAGCCACGGCUAACUCUGUGCCAGCAGCCGCGGUAAUACAGAGGUGGCAAGCGUUGUUCGGAAUUACUGGGCGUAAAGGGCGCGUAGGCGGUCGAUUAAGUCCCGUGUGAAAUCCCUCGGCUCAACUGAGGAGCUGCACGGGAAACUGGUUGACUUGAGUUCGGGAGAGGGAAGCGGAAUUCCGGGUGUAGCGGUGAAGUGCGUAGAUAUCCGGAGGAACACCGGUGGCGAGGGCGGCUUCCUGAACCGAUACUGACGCUGAGGCGCGAAAGCUAGGGGAGCAAACGGG